rnacentral:misc_RNA from 1 species
GAUGAAGAACGUAGCGAAAUGCGAUAAGUAGUGUGAAUUGCAGAAUUCAGUGAAUCAUCGAAUCUUUGAACGCACAUUGCGCCCCUUGGUAUCCCGAGGAGCAUGCCUGUUCGAGCGUCAUUUCACCACUCAAGCCUGGCUUGGUGUUGGGCGACGUCCCCUUUGGGGACGCGCCUCGAAACGCUCGGCGGCGUGGCACCGGCUUUAAGCGUAGCAGAAUCUUUCGCUUUGGAAGUCGGGGCCCCGUCUGCCGGAAGACCUACUCGCAAGGUUGACCUCGGAUCAGGCAGGGAUACCCGCUGAACUUAAGCAUAUCAAUAAGCGGAGGA